rnacentral:rRNA from 1 species
CAGUCGCCGCGGGAAUACAGAGGGUGCAAGCGUUAAUCGGAAUUACUGGGCGUAAAGCGCGCGUAGGUGGUUUGUUAAGUUGGAUGUGAAAGCCCCGGGCUCAACCUGGGAACUGCAUCCAAAACUGGCAAGCUAGAGUACGGUAGAGGGUGGUGGAAUUUCCUGUGUAGCGGUGAAAUGCGUAGAUAUAGGAAGGAACACCAGUGGCGAAGGCGACCACCUGGACUGAUACUGACACUGAGGUGCGAAAGCGUGGGGAGCAAACAGGAUUAGAUACCCGCGUAGUCCCUGUCUCUUAUAC